AGUCUUGACCAAAUUACGUGCCAGCAGUCGCGGCAACACGCAGAAGACAAGUGUUAUUCAUCUUUAUUCGGUUUAAAGGGUACCUAGACGGGAAAUCAAGCCUUAGCUGGGACUAAUUUUCUAGAGUUUUAUGGGAGAAAGUCGAAUGUCUGGAGGAGAGAUAAAAUUCUGUGAUACUAGAUGGACGGACAACGGCGUAGGCAACUUUCUAUGUAAAAACUGACGUUGAGGGACGAAGCCCUGGGUAGUGAGAGGGAUUAGAUACCCCAGUAGUCCNAGGAGAAAAUUAUGAGUGCCAUAGGCUAGAUAAAUUAGUUUAUAAAUGAAAGUGCAAGCAUUCCACCUUGAGACUAAAGCGGCAACGCCCAAAUUGAAAUCAUUAGACCGCUCCUGAAACCAGUAGUGAAGUAUGUUAUUUAAUUCGGUAAUCCGCGAAUAACCUUACCACGUUUUGAAUACUUUUUGUAAAAGCAUUCCUGCUUUUAUCAUUACAAAUUGUACAAGCGUUGCACGGCUGUCUUUAGUUAAUGUCGUGAGACUUUGGUUAACCCCUUUAAUUAACGAAAACCCUUGUUUUAUUUGUUUAUCUAAAACAGUUCUCCGCUAUAUAGGAUAAGAUAACAGGGAUUAAGGCAAGUCAUCAUGGCCUGCUUGAUGAUGUAGGAUAUCAUCUUUUGUGGGGUAAAACUAUCAAACUCUGGGGACCUCCUAAAGCUUAUGAUACCAAACCCCAGCGNCNACACUGUGAGUGGGAUGAAUUAANNNNNNNNNNNNNNNNNGGGUAAAUCUAUAUUGCUAUAGGACUUCAUAAAAGAGAUAGAGAUCCUAUUGCAAAAUAUUCAAUCUUUUUUAGGAAUAGGUAAAAUUCCAUACCAAUAGUGAAGAUUAUUUACAAUUACGUGUGGAUUCACCUGAAGAAUUUAAAAGUGGUUAUAAGUCAUUUUGAUAAUUACCCACUUGUAACGGCUAAAUGAGCUGAUUAUAUUUUAUUCAAACAAGCUUUAUAAAUAAUCUUGCUAAGAGAGCAUUUAACUAAAAAAGGUUUAUUAAAAAUAAUUGGUAUUAAAUCUUCACUUAAUUUAGGUAUUAAUGAAAAUUAAAAAAAAGCAUUUCCCUUUCCCGAUUGAAAAAAAUUGCAAGUUGAUAGACCUAGCUACAUUUUUGGAAAAAGCAUUCCAAAUCCUAAUUGAAUGGCGGGGUUUGUUAGCGGAGAUGGUAGUUUUAAUAUAAAAAUAAGCAAUUCUCCUAGUAGUAUAUUAGAAAAAAGAGUACAGUUAAGAUUUGCAAUAGGUUUACAUAUUAGAGAUGAAUAUUUAAUUAAAAGUCUCAAUGGUUAUUUUGGUUUAUCUGAUAAUGUAAAAAAUAUUUAUACUCAUCUUAAUUCGAUAAGAUUUGAAGUAGUAAAAUUUUCAUAUCUUUCGAGCAAAAUAAUUCCUUUUUUUGAAAAAUAUUCUACACAAGGUAAAAAAGCUUCAGAUUUUAUAAAAUUUAAACAGGCUGCUGAAAUAAUAUCGAAAAAAGAUCAUUUAACAUCACAGGGUCUUAAUAACAAUAUUAGAUAUAAAAGCUAGUAU
rnacentral:rRNA from 1 species